UACGUAGGCAGCGAGCGUUGUUCGGAGUUACUGGGCGUAAAGGGUGUGUAGGCGGUUCUUUAAGUUUGGGGUGAAAUCUCCCGGCUCAACCGGGGAAGUGCCUUGAAUACUGGCGGUCUGGAGGGAGGUAGGGGCGUGCGGAACUGUAGGUGGAGCGGUGAAAUGCGUUGAUAUCUACAGGAACUCCGGUGGCGAAGGCGGCACGCUGGACCUUUUCUGACGCUGAGGCGCGAAAGCCAGGGGAGCGAACGGG
rnacentral:rRNA from 1 species